CUCCAUCUGACGAGUCCAAAAUAGGACCAAACGCUUGUCUUAGAU
rfam:Schistosoma haematobium scaffold195_9, whole genome shotgun sequence.